CCAGGAAUCUUGCGCAAUGGGCGAAAGCCUGACGCAGCAACGCCGCGUGGGCGAUGAAGGCCUUCGGGUCGUAAAGCCCUGUUGUCGGGGACGAAGGGCGAAGGGUUAAUAGCCCCUAGCCUGACGGUACCCGACGAGGAAGCCCCGGCUAACUACGUGCCAGCAGCCGCGGUAAUACGUAGGGGGCGAGCGUUGUCAGGAAUCACUGGGCGUAAAGAGCGUGUAGGCGGCCCGGUAAGUCUGCUGUGAAAACCCGGGGCUCAACCCCGGGCGUGCAGUGGAAACUGCCGGGCUAGAGGGCGGCAGAGGCGAGUGGAAUUCCCGGUGUAGCGGUGAAAUGCGCAGAUAUCGGGAGGAACACCAGUAGCGAAGGCGGCUCGCUGGGCCGUCCCUGACGCUGAGACGCGAAAGCUAGGGGAGCGAACAGG
rnacentral:rRNA from 2 species